GGAUGAACGCUGGCGGCGUGCCUAACACAUGCAAGUCGAGCGGUAUAUAGUGGAAUGAAACUUCGGUCGAGUGAAGCUAUAGAGAGCGGCGGACGGGUGAGUAACACGUAGGAAUCUACCCUUAAGACGGGGACAACCCAGGGAAACUUGGGCUAAUACCGGAUGAGAGUGCGAGAGAUUGCAUUUAAAAGGAUGGCGAAAGUUGUCGCUUAGGGAUGAGCCUGCGGUCUAUUAGUUAGUUGGUGAGGUAAGAGCUCACCAAGGCGAUGAUAGAUAGGCGGCCUUAACGGGUGGUCGCCCACACUGGGAUUGAGAUACGGCCCAGACUCCUACGGGAGGCAGCAGUGGGGAAUUUUGGACAAUGGGCGCAAGCCUGAUCCAGCCAUUCCGCGUGCAGGAUGAAGGCCUUCGGGUUGUAAACUGCUUUUGUACGGAACGAAACGGUCUGCCCUAAUACGGCGGGCUAAUGACGGUACCGUAAGAAUAAGCACCGGCUAACUACGUG
rnacentral:rRNA from 1 species